CAUCUGUACACAGGAAGUUUAGCUCUAAUAAGGUGGACAAUAUUGUAAUCUUUUUUUCCUCUUUUUUCUUUUUCUUUCCUUGUUUAUUAUGGAAGACUAAAACCGGUCAUGUGUAUCACUUUCCACGUUACUCUUGUAUUAUAUGAAAAUAAAAUUUAUUGAAUUAA